rnacentral:rRNA from 1 species
ACGCUGGCGGCGUGCCUAACACAUGCAAGUCGACCGUUGACUGAGAUGACUAAGUCUUCGGACAAAGGAAUUGACUGUCGAGUGGCGGACGGGUGAGUAACGCGUGGAUAACCUGCCUCAUACAGGGGGAUAACAGAGGGAAACUUCUGCUAAUACCGCAUAAGCGCACAGUAACGCAUGUUACAGUGUGAAAAACUCCGGUGGUAUGAGAUGGAUCCGCGUCCGAUUAGCCAGUUGGCGGGGUAACGGCCCACCAAAGCGACGAUCGGUAGCCGGCCUGAGAGGGCGGACGGCCACAUUGGGACUGAGACACGGCCCAGACUCCUACGGGAGGCAGCAGUGGGGGAUAUUGCACAAUGGAGGAAACUCUGAUGCAGCGACGCCGCGUGGGUGAAGAAGUAUUUCGGUAUGUAAAGCCCUAUCAGCAGGGACGAUAAUGACGGUACCUGACUAAGAAGCCCCGGCUAACUACGUGCCAGCAGCCGCGGUAAUACGUAGGGGGCAAGCGUUAUCCGGAUUUACUGGGUGUAAAGGGAGCGCAGAUGGACAGACAAGUCAGAUGUGAAAGCACGGGACUUAACCCCGUGAUUGCAUUUGAAACUGCCGGUCUAGAGUACUGGAGAGGUAAGCAGAAUUCCUAGUGUAGCGGUGAAAUGCGUAGAUAUUAGGAAGAAUACCGGUGGCGAAAGGCGGCUUACUGGACCAGANACNGNCNNUGAGGCUCGAAAGCGUGGGGAGCAAACAGGAUUAGAUACCCCUGGUAGCCCCACGCCCUAAAACGAUGAAUACCAUGNNNCUNGCGAGCAGAGCUCGUCGGUGCCGAAAGCAAACGCAUUAAGUAUUCCACCUGGGGGAGUACGUUGGCAAGAAUGGAACUCAAAGGAAAUUGACGGGGACCCGCACAAGCGGUGGAGCAUGUGGUUUAAUUCGAAGCAACGCGAAGAACCUUACCAAGUCUUGAGAUCCUGAUGAAUAACUGGUAAUGCAGUUAGCCCUUCGGGGCAUCAGAGACAGGUGGUGCAUGGUUGUCGUCAGCUCGUGUCGUGAGAUGUUGGGUCAAGUCCCGCAACGAGCGCAACCCUUACCUUCAGUAGCCAGCACGUCAAGGUGGGCACUCUGGAAAAAAAACCGGGGACAACCCGGAGGAAGGUGGGGAUGACGUCAAAUCAUCAUGCCCCUUAUGACUUGGGCUACACACGUGCUACAAUGGCGGUCACAAAGAGAAGCGAGACUGAGAGGUGGAGCAAAUCUCAAAAAGGCCGUCCCAGUUCGGACUGUAGUCUGCAACUCGACUACACGAAGCUGGAAUCGCUAGUAAUCGCAGAUCAGAAUGCUGCGGUGAAUACGUUCCCGGGUCUUGUACACAACGCCCGUCACACCAUGGGAGUCGGAGAUGCCCGAAGCCGGUGGCCUAACCGCAAGGAAGGAGCCGUCGCCAUGCUCGUGAGGGCGCGGUAACUGGGGUGAAGUCGUAACAAGGUAACCGUA